AUGGUGAAUUCGAAGGAACCGCCAACCGAGCCCCCCUCGUCAAAUCGCGCGAUCGAAAGCAGCGUCGGGCAGGCGGGGGGCACUGCCGCGGAGGUUGCGACAAUGUCACUGAGUGCCCACCGCGAGACGCUGUCAUCGCUCUCGUCGACACUCAAGACGCCGGGGAGCCAUCGUGUGCUGCGUUAUGCUCCCGUCAACCGUGCUGGUGAAGCCAUCGCCCCGGCCAUGGGCUCCUCCUCGCAAGAUCUCAACAAGGUCAGACAGAGGCUACAACUCGGCCUCGGUGAAGUGAACGCGGCACCGGGUGUCGGUAAACCCAGGGACAACGAGUCCCCUGUGGUCACUGAGGCGGUUUCUCCACAACCAUUGAAGGCGCAGCCCCGCCGCCGCCCUGCUAUGUCAUCCCACACGGACGCGACAGCCGUGAGUGUGCCACCGCAGGCCUCCGAGCGCAAGCGACGGUUGGUCCGCGCAGAUGCGCUCGACAGGCCCCGGUUCUCCGCGACGCUCUUUGCGGAAGAGAUUGAGGAAGACAUCUACGCCCUUACCGGCGCGCUGCCGCGUACCCGCCCUCGCCACCGCCCACCCGCGGUGCAGAAUCAGAUCGAUCUGCUACUUCCCGGCUCACGCUUAUCGGAGAUCAACGCGGAGUCCUACCGGGUGCCAGAUGAUCGCUGA
rnacentral:rRNA from 1 species